UAACAGCCCAAGGGACGCACCUCAGUGGCCCCCACCUGUGUCCCUAUCAGCACGCCUGGACCAGCUCAGAACAACGGCCCCCACCAAUGUCUCAGUCUCCGGAGAGGACCCUCCUCUCACCAAGAUGCCCCCAGAGCCCACCAGUUUGUGAGCACUUGGAGGAGAAGAGAAACACAGAGCCCGUGUUUAUUCAUCUCUGUAACCCCGACAUCAGACAGCAUAAAUGCUCCAUGUGUGUUAAAACUGGGAGUAGUCGUGCAGCUUUUGGGGCUCUCCUGGUGUUUGCAGGACAAAGUUUGGCACUCUGUUGAGGAAAAAAACCCAAUAUGGAACAAAUACAGCAACCUUCUCCUUGUCUUCCUGGAACGAAAGUUGAGGCUGGAUCAUAAAUUAUUUAGUAGUACAUCCUUUUUCUUUGGAAUCCAGAAAGCACCUACCAAUAUUUUGGAUAUACUGACACAAAUUCACCACGGCCUUCACUCACUUUUCUCCUUCUCCCUGACCAAGAUGUGAGAAUCAAGAUACACUGCAGCAGAGUAGCAAACCCCAUCGGCUCAGCCAUUCUGACUCUCAUAUUGCUUUGGGCGGUUACCACGAUGCUCACCCUUGCGGAUAUAGACACCCGUGAUUCCUGCAUUACUAAUAUGAUCUCAUCUCUUAUCUAAACUCCUUUGAUGGAACUGGUGGAGAAGUGAUAACCUCUGAAUCAAAGGAAUCUCAAACCACAAGACUCACUGACUAUAAGCAAAAUGACGAUAAAUUUUUAGAGAGGCAGAAGUUUCUUACUUAGGAUUAUUAAAGAAUAUGCUAAAGAAAGAUAAGCAACUUGAGCAGUUACUAAAUAUAUCAAGCACACAUGGGGCUGAGAUAUGUGGGGUGAUUCGCAGCUGAACAAACAAAAUGACUAUUUCUGUAGGGACCCUGAGUAUUUGGUGCUUUGUGAUUGAUGACGCACCCUACUAUUUAAGGAGUGAAGGAGAAUUAUCCUAUCUCAAGUUCAGAAUAGAUUUUUCUCUUCAAGAGAAAAUUAUUUUUAAAUAUUUGAAUGGCGCUUGAGUAAAAUAUGUCUAUCAUAAAAGUUAUCUAACAAUUUACAUUGCCACCAAGAUGACACAGCCUAAGAGCUGUGAUGACAUCAGAGGAAAAUAGAUAUAAUCUAUACAGUACAAGGAACUUCAUUUUUCUUCUUCUGCAAGAAACUGGCUCCAUUACAGUGAUAGUGAUUUUCAGAAAAUGGAUAGUUAUUGAGAUUUCCUAGAUUGUAUGAUCACCGUAAAAGAGCAGACAAAGCAUAUACUUAUUGGCCCUGUUGUCAUCACUGAACCAAAAUCCACAUGGGAGAAGAUAAAGUAAGAAACAACUUCAAAUUAAAACUAACUUUGAUAAUCAGUAAGGACUAGUCUCAAUACCGUCCAGAGGAGGAAUCACCAGAGCUCAAGUCAAAGUCCAUGAAGACUUCCAUGACCCAGCUGCAGCAUCACUGUGGCUUGGAGCUGGGCCAGAAGGUGCAGGAUUCAGCAUAAGCAGAGAUCUCGGCAAUUUGACUCCCAGACAAGUUCAAGAAGUAGAAGAUGACAGAAGAGUGAGAC
ensembl:lncRNA